GACGAACGCUGGCGGCGUGCUUAACACAUGCAAGUCGAACGGACAGGCCCUGCUCUUGCGGGGUGCUCGAGUGGCGAACGGGUGAGUAACACGUGAGUAACCUGCACUUGACUUUGGGAUAACUUCACGGAACUGGGGCUCAUACCGGGUAUGAGCUCCUGCUCCACGGUGGUCGAUGGAAAGUGUCGGCGGUUCGGGAUGGACUCGCGGGUUAUCCGCUUGUUGGUGGGGUAGUGGCUUACCAGGGCUUUGACGGGUAGCCGGCCUGGGAGGGUGACCGGCGACAAGGGGACUGAGAGACGCACCAGACUGGUACGGGAGGCAGUAGUGGGGAAUAUGGCACAAUGGGCGGAAGCCUGAGGCAGCAACGCCGCGUGCGGGAAGACGGCUUUCGGGUUAUAAACCAAUGUCGCCUGUGACGAAGCGGGAGUGACGGUAAUGGGUAAGGAAGCACCGGCUAACUACGUG
rnacentral:rRNA from 1 species